GAUGAACGCUGGCGGCGUGCCUAAUUCAUGCAAGUCGAGCGAACGGACGAGAAGCUUGCUUUUCUGAUGUUAGCGGCGGACGGGUGAGUAACACGUGGAUAACCUACCUAUAAGACUGGGAUAACUUCGGGAAACCGGAGCUAAUACCGGAUAAUAUUUUGAACCGCAUGGUUCAAAAGUGAAAGACGGUCUUGCUGUCACUUAUAGAUGGAUCCGCGCUGCAUUAGCUAGUUGGUAAGGUAACGGCUUACCAAGGCAACGAUGCAUAGCCGACCUGAGAGGGUGAUCGGCCACACUGGAACUGAGACACGGUCCAGACUCCUACGGGAGGCAGCAGUAGGGAAUCUUCCGCAAUGGGCGAAAGCCUGACGGAGCAACGCCGCGUGAGUGAUGAAGGUCUUCGGAUCGUAAAACUCUGUUAUUAGGGAAGAACAUAUGUGUAAGUAACUGUGCACAUCUUGACGGUACCUAAUCAGAAAGCGACGGCUAACUACGUG
rnacentral:rRNA from 1 species